rnacentral:sRNA from 1 species
GCUGGGCGUGGUGACACACGCCUUUAAUCCCAACACUCGGGAGGCAGAGGCAGGUGGAUCUCUGUGAGUUUAAGGUCAGCCUGGUCUACAUAGUGAGUUCCAGGACAGCUGGGGCUACAGGGAGACCCUGUCUCAAAAAGACAAUAAAAAAAAAAAAAUUUUUUUUUGGAACAGGGUCUCCCUGUAGCUCACUAUGUAGAGCAGGCUGGCCUCAGUCUCAUAGAGAUCAACCUGACUCU